rnacentral:rRNA from 1 species
GUGAGUCAUCGAGUCUUUGAACGCAAAUUGCACCCUGUGGUAUUCCGCAGGGUAUACCUGUUUGAGUGCUUAUAUCUCUUAGGCAGUGGCCUUUUGUGCUGCUGCUUCUGGUUACUUGUUGACCUUGCGAGAUGCAGUCCUUUGGAUCGCUUUUCGAUAAGCAUUGCACCGAAUGAGUAAGGAUGUGAAGAAUCUAGUAUUUAUGAUCAUGUAUACUCACGGUUGCGUCAAGUAUUUUACUUGAGCUAAUAGUUGGAAUAUAGUAUUUUUCUGUAUUUCAUCUGAUUUGCCUCAAAUCAGGCAGGGUUACCCGCUGAACUUAA